CCUACGGGUGGCAGCAGUGAGGAAUAUUGGUCAAUGGGCUUCCGCCUGAACCAGCCAAGUCGCGUGAGGGAAGACUGCCCUAUGGGUUGUACACCUCUUUUGUCAGGGAGCAAUUGGCGCUACGUGUAGCGUUAUCUAGAGUACCUGAAGAAAAGGCAUCGGCUAACUCCGUGCCAGCAGCCGCGGUAAUACGUUGGAUGCGAGCGUUAUCCGGAUUUCUUGGGUUUAAGGGGUGCGUAGGCGGAAUGCAACUUCAGCGGUAAAGUCGCGGGGCUCAACCUCACGCCGCCGUUGAAACUGGCGUUCUUGAGUGGGCGUGAAGUAGGCGGAAUGCGUGGUGUAGCGGUGAAAUGCAUAGAUAUCACGCAGAACUCCGAUUGCGAAGGCAGCAUACCGGCGCCCAACUGACGCUGAAGCACGAAAGCGUGGGUAUCGAACAGGAUUAGAUACCCGGGUAGUC
rnacentral:rRNA from 1 species